UCCAAGUCUCAUUUUUCAUUAAGGAGUCCAUUUCAUCUAUCAUAGCAGCAUGCCAGUUCUCAGACUGCUUGCAGCUCAUUGCCUCUUCAUAAGAUUUUGGUUCUUUAAACACUAAGUCAUGAUAGGACAAGACAGCAAGUGAAAGGUAAUCUCCAUACCUAACAGGCUCUCUUACUUCUCUCCUAGUCCUAUCUCUAGUUAAUUGGUAAUCUCCCAAUUCAUCAGGCUGACUUUUUAGAUUUUCUUGAACAUUUUCCUCUUCAUUUUCUUGAGGAUCAGAAGCUGUUUCAGCUUCUUCAUCUACAUGUUCAUCACUAACAGGUUCAGUAGGUAAACCAAGCUCCACCUGCAAAUUGGUAUCAUCACCUCUUUCAUCACCAGGUAGCCUUUUUGGUUCUUUAUUAUCUAAACAAGGCAUCUUUGACUCAUCAAAGGUAACAUCUCUACUGGUGAUGAUUCUAAAACCUUUUACUUCUUUACUCCAUAGCCUAUAACCUUUAACCCCAUCGGGAUAUCCCAAGAAAAUACAUUUCUGGGCUCUAGGUUCAAGUUUUCCUAUACUUUGAUGGGAAUAGGCGACACAACCAAAGAUUCUUAAAUGUGAAUAAUCAGGAACAUGUCCUGUCCAUAGCUCUUCAGGGGUUUUAUCUCCUAGAGCACUUGAGGGGGUCCUAUUAACAAUAUAUGAAGCUGUAAUUACAGCUUCACCCCAUAACACCUUAGGAACACCUGAACCUAUCAACAUGCACCUAACCUUAUCUAGCAAGGUUCUAUUCAUCCUCUCAGCCACUCCAUUCUGCUGAGGUGUAUAAGGUACAGUUUUAUGCCUUUUAAUACCAGAUCAUUUGCACAACUGAUCAAAUUCAGCAUUGCAAAACUCAAGGCCAUUAUCAGUCCUAAGGAUCUUAAUUUUCUUCCCAAUCUCAUUUUCCACCAAAAUCUUCCAAGUUCUAAAUUUAUCAAAUGUUUUAGAUUUGUGUUUCAACAAAUAAAUCCAAACCUUCCUAGAAUAGUCAUCAAUCAAGGACAAGAAAUAUCUAUUUCAUCCUUGAGUAACAGUGGAUGAAGGCCCCCAUAAAUCAGCAUGUAUAUACUCAAGGAUAGAGGUGGUUCUAUGUUUUCCUGUGUUAAAAUGCAACCUAUGUUGUUUUCCUAAGGUGCAGUUUUCACAAAAAGACACCUUAGAUAUAGAGUUCUUCCCAAACACGCCUUUCUUAUAAAGGAUGUGUAGGCCCUUUUCACCUACAUGGGCCAACCUCUUGUGCCACUUUAAGGUAGCAUCAACUUCUACACUAGAAGACUCACCUAUGUGAUCAAACACUGUACUAGCUUUGAUCACAUAAAUUCCAUUUCUUUUAACACAUUUAAAAAUAACAAGUGAUCCUUUUAUCACUUUCAAGAAGCCAUCUCCUAUUUUUCCUUGCAAUCUCAUAUUAUCUAGAUUUCCCAUGGAAAUCAGAUUCCUAUUCAAUUCAGGAACAUAUCUCACCCUUUCAAGAGUGUAAAUGUAUCCAUUAUCGAAUUUCAAAGUGACAUUCCCAACUCCCUCAACUCUGCAGGCUACAUUAUUGCCCAUAACUACUUCUCCUCCAUCAAUUUUCUUAAAAUUGUCUAAAUAUGCCCUUUUACAGGUCAUAUUGAAGGUACAACCAGAAUCCAAGAUCCAUUCUUAGUUCUGAUUCUCAUCAACAACAUUUGCAGAGCUAGGUAAAUUUUCAGUUACAGCAUAUACAUCAACUGUGGCAGAACCUUCAGAUUCUACCACAUUACCUUCAUUAACACCCUUUUGUUUCUGUUCAUUUUUCUUCUUAUAACAGUUUUUAAUAAAAUGUCCAGAUUUCCCACACUAAUAACACUUUUUAGUCCUAAUCCUUGACUUAGACCUGCCUCUACUUUUAAACUUUCUCCUACUGUUAUUUCCCUGAUUAUUAUAGCUUUCUUGAAUACCACUAGACCUACUUAAAGUCCUCCCUCUAGCAAACAAGUUCUCAUGGCCACUAUUACCUCUCUCAGACUUAAGUUCAAGUUCCUUACUCUUUAAAGAGUCUAUGACAAUAUCAGGUGUAAGAGUAUCUCUACCAUACUUAAUGGUGGCUUUAACCUCUUUGUAGGCUUCAGGUAUAUCAUUAAGUAGUACUACAGCCUUAUACUCAUCACAAACUUUCUCACUUGUAUUAAUAAUGUCUUGAACUAACUUAUUAAAAAUGUCUAAGCUGUCUUCUAAGUCUCUAGUUUGAUCUAUCCUAAAACUAAAAAAUUUCUCUAAUAGAAACAAUUUAUUAGGCAAAGACUUAGGUAGGUAAAGCUUCUUUAAUUCAUCCCAUAAGGUCUUAGCAGUAUCAUGUUUGCCUACUUUUCUUAAAAUUUGAUCAGAUAAAUGCAAAAUAAUGGAGGUAUAAGCAAGUUCAUCAGAUUCUUCCUUUUGAUCAUCUGUCAUGGUAUCAGGAAAUUCAUCUGUUAUUGCUUUAGAAACUUUUUGCUGAACUAAAACACCUCGCAUUUUUUGUUGCCAAAUGGAAAAAUCCCCUUUUCCAUCAAAAACACCAAGUUCAAAAGAUUUUGUCAUGUUUUAUUGUGAAAAACUAACACACAGUAUUUUUCACAAAUUAUAAUAGAACAGAAAAUCAACUUUUGAAAAACUGUUGAAAUUGACCUUCGCAAAAAAUUUAUGUUUUAGAUCACAUAAAGUAAUAUGUAGUCAACUAAAUGAGCCACAAUUAUUUUAUUCACAAAUAGUUUCAAUCAAUAGCAGGAUCAUUAGAUAUUCUAGUGUAAACACCACAAGAACCAGAAAAAUACAACAAUGCAGGCAAAAACUAUAUCUCAGGAUUAAAGAAUCAAUAUAUGCAGGACUUAGGGUUGAUCAAAUUCACCAGGAUUUCGUGAGAAUCAAGUUCUCAGGUCAAUGCUCAAUUUGAAUCACCCAAACUUAAUUUAUCAUAGGCAAAUAUAACAAGAUAUCACAAACUAAUGUAACAGGUUACAAUAUACAGUAAUUGAAUAUAUCAACAUAGAGGCAUAUAUACAUAAAAGCAGUGUUUAGUGAGUGUGCAAUCAUAUAGGGUUCAAGAAGUGCAAACCAAGGGUGGUUAAGCAAUUUAACCACCAGCUAAAAUCAGGAACAAGUUAUUACAGCAAGGAUGAAUUCACUGCAGGUCACCAAGGCACAAAACGUGCCCUUACAGAUUCAAGUUCUUCCAGUUUCGAGGCCUUGCAUCUCCAAACAAUUAGGGUUCCAGCACAAAACGAACCCACAGGAUCUCGGUCUUAUGGUUCUUUUACAAAUCACAUCGAGGAUUCACAGAAAAUCCCUCGCAUUCCACAGUCCAGAUUCGAAUCAACACCACAGACCACUAGGUCGACACAAAAUCAAAACUAGGGUUUCGCGAUCUACUGUCGAACACCUGGAAAUUAACUUUCCAGUGUUCAACCUCAAUCAAAGACUCAAGAACGAACGCAAAUGGCUCUGAUACCACUAUUAAAAACAGGAUCCAAAAAACAUUCAAGAUAACAUGAAACUGCAGAUUACAUCAUAAACCCUAAACCACAACAUCAAGGUUUAGAUCUUUCAAUUGUAGGCUCAGACCACGUCCCCUUUCACCAUCACAGAGGCACCGAGACUCAAACACAAGCCCUUACAACCUAACACAUCAAGGUCGCUUCACUGAAAACCAAAACAAGGACUGCCUACCUUCAAACGAUCACUCACACAAAGGAGAAUCACACAAGAACACAAUUAUCACAAAGAUAAUCAACCAGAAAUCUCACAAAGAGAAGAAGGAAGAGUCACAAAGACGAAGAACACGAAAGUUCCAGAAGGCAGAGAGAAAAACAAAGAACAGAAAUGAUGAUCCAAAUGCCAAACAGGGGCUAAGGAUGAUAUUUAUAGGUAAUAUCAUCAACCGUUGAUCAGCGGGUCAAUCCAACGGUCCAAGAGCGACUAAGAUGUGUGGGCUGGGUAUUGGGCUAGGUUAAGUGGGCCUUCUAGGUAACUAAUUAAUGGACCAAGUAUUGAAUCCGUAUUUUGGGCCUUUUCAUCAUUGCCUAAUUGUUGGACUGGAUCAAAUGGCAUCACAGCCCAACACUUAUUAUGCACAUUUUGAAAUUAUGAUUAUCAUGUUUACUUCGGUCAUUUUUGGUUAUUUUGCUUAUAUAUUUUUUAAUUGUUUAUGAUGAAAAUGCAAACUUCGCAGAUAAGAUUUUCAAUCUCUAUUAAGCAUUUAGUCUAUAUUUAUGUAAACUUACAAGUUUACACGCAUAGUGGCUCAAAUCAAGACAAACACAUGGAUCCCAAACCUUAAAAAAUGAGGGCAAGGAGUUAUGAGUCCCAAUUCUUGCUACACUGCGUGUAAGUCCUUAGCUGAUAGAAACUAUUAGUAUUUUCCAGAGUUUCUAAAGAAGUUUUGUCAUCCAAAUAUAUUCCAAGUGACAUGCCCCAACUUUAAAGUUUUCAUAUAUCAGAUAAGUCGACAAAUAUGAUGUGUGAUUGAUAGAAUAAAUUAUAUGUAUAAACAUGCAAUCCAUUUUAACUAUGCAUAUAUCAUUUAGUGUUACUUGAUGCCACCUAGAUUAAUUUUUUUACUACCAUUUGUGCAAAAUUGCAUUACUCCUUAAACAAGGUGUUAAAAAGUGUGAUUGUAUCAAUUUUUACCAUGUGGAUGAUUCUUCCUUUGUUUUAUUCUUCAAGUGAAUAUUUCCAUGUAGUUUUAUUACUAGUUCUCACUUUCAUAUCAGCCUCGAAAAUAUAUGGUACUAAGUAAAACUAAUUGACCUUAAGGAUUGUCAUAUGCUUGUUUAAGUAUUUGCCAAAAUAAGAUAAUGUAAAAAGUUGUGAUGACUCCUUUUGAAUUAUUGCUUGGUAAUUUCAUCAUCAUUCGAAAAUAUCCAGAACCAAAAUCCUGUUUUGAAUUGAAUCCAGCUCCUGCAUAGUUAAUAAUUAAUUAAAACAAAAAUAAUCUCAAAAUUAGUUCCAAAAUUCGAUCCACGAUCUAUUCACUAUACAUUCAGAUGCAUCUACCGUUCUUCCCUUGCAUGAGAGCAUAAAAUCAUAGUGCAUGUUAAUAUUGUCUGGUAUAUAAUUCAUUCCUCCUUUCCAAACAUGUUAACACAAUCUCUGUGUGUGUGUGUGUGUGUGUGUGUGUGUGUGAGAGAGAGAGAGAGAGAGAAGGGCGGGGGGGGGGGGGUGGCGCAGUUAAAUAAAUACCUGAGUGUUCGUCUAUUAACAGUUCGACUUCCUUACCCUGAUGAAGAACAAUAACAUCACCACCCCACAUAGGAGAGUAGUUUUGAUCAAAUGGGGUUUCAUCAGCAUAUCCACAAGCAACAAAGAGAAUUAGAAACAGGCUAAUCGCAUUGUAAUCCAUCGGAAUUAAAAGAAUCAAAAUAAUGCAGUUUUUGCUGACAU
rnacentral:lncRNA from 1 species